GGCAAACGGGUCAAUAACACGUUGGAACCUGCCCUAAAGUGAGGGAUAACCACGAGAAAUCGUGGCUAAUACCGCAUAUGAUCGCAAGAUUAAAGCAGCAAUGCGCUUUAGGAGGGGCCUGCGUCCUAUCAGCUAGUUGGCGAGGUAACUGCUCACCAAGGCUAUGACGGGUAGCUGGUCUGAGAGGAUGAUCAGCGACAGGGAGACUGAGACACGGCUCCCACUCCUACGGGAGGCAGCAGUAAGGAAUCUUUCGCAAUGGGGGAAACCCCGACGAAGCGACACCGCGUGAAGGAUGAAGCCCGGAAGGGUGUAAACUUCUUUUUUGAGGGAAGAAUUCUGACGGUACCUCAAGAAUAAGCACCGGCUAACUCUGUGCCAGCAGCCGCGGUAAGACAGAGGGUGCAAACGUUAUCCGGAAUCACUGGGCGUAAAGCGUCCUUAGGCUGUCUAAAAAGUCUGGCAUUAAAGCCUGAAGCUCAACUUCAGUCCGGUGCUUGAUACUUUUAGACUAGAGAGUUUCAGAGGCAAGUGGAAUUCUGCGUGUAGGGGUAAAAUCCGUUGAUACGCAGAGGAACACCAAAAG
rnacentral:rRNA from 1 species